GGGGUUGUGGCUCAGUGGUAAAGCGUCUUCUUUGGAUGUAGAAGGUCCCAGGUUCAACCCCUGGCAUCUCCA